CACUAUGCCAAAUUGUUUUGAUUUAAUGUGCAACUGCAAUAAUAUGGGCGAUACAUUCAGAAUGGACUGUAGGUUUUUCAUCUUAAGGCUAACUGCUGAGGCUAUGCCAUAUUUUUUAAAAAUAUUCUCUUACAUUUUCUCCUCAGAAAAAGUUGAUUCCUCACAAGAUCAGGACGCGUCAAGUGAUGAGGAUGAGUCUGUUGAGUCGACCACUGAGGCAACAGGUGAAGACGGCCAGGAGAAUACACCUUUACUUCCGACCACUGCUUCCAGUUCCACUCCUCCCAGUGCUCUUCUCAAUCAAGACAAAAGAGGUAACUCCAAACGGAAGUGGGAAGACAGCGAGGUGCGUGCAGUUGAAAGACACAUGAUGCGCUUCAUCCACACAUGCAAGGUACCUCAAAAGAUUGACUGCAUUCGGUGUAUCAACGCAGAACCUGAUGCGCUCAAAGACCGAAUCUGGACUGGAGUGAAAAAUGAUGUCAGAAAUCGGAUCACUGCCUUAAAGAGAAAGGCUUGUUCUCAGGACUCAUGAUAGAUAUUUGUUGAAGUAUACCUGUUUGAAGUAUAUCUGUAUCUUAUUUCAGAGGCUAAUGUUAAAUUUGUCUGUGCACAAAGGUCUUCUGUAUUUUUAUAUAGCCAAAGUUCUUGGUUGUAGUUUGGAGCACAACCUGCUAUGUUGCUAGCGAGCCUAAGAAAUUGUUUCUCUGAACAGUCUCUAGUCAAGUAUGUUAACUGACUGUUAGCUGUCCAGAUGCAUUCAUUUGAAAGCUAGCCAAGUUUGUGACAACAUGUAAUUUUCAAGGACAUUCCAUUUGAGCUGUGUGGCACUCGUACAUGAUGUCCAUCCAUUAUGUCACUAAAAAGAUAUCAGCAAACGCAA